ACUCCUCGGGAGGCAGCAGUGGGGAAUUUUGCUCAUCGGGGGAAACCCUGACGCAACAUCGCCGCGUGGAGGAUGAAGUCCCUUGGGACUUUCACUCCUUUCAAUCGGGACGAUAAUGACGGUACCGGAAGAAAAAGCCCCGGCUAACUUCGUGCCGUCAUCCGCGGUAAUACGAGGGGGGCAAGCGUUGUUCAGAAUUAUUGGGCGUAAAGGGUGCGUACGUGGUUCGGCAAGUCUUGUGUGAAAUCUUCUUGCUCAACUUGAAGUCUGCAUAAGAAACUGCCGGGCUUGAGUGUGGGAGAGGUGAGUGGAAUUUCCGGUGUANCGGUGAAAUGCGUAGAUAUCGGAAGGAACUCCUGUGGCGAAAGCGGCUCACUGGACCAUUACUGACACUGAGGCACGAAAGCUAGGGGAGCAAACAGGAUUAGAUACCCUGGUAGUCCUAGCCCUAAACGAUGAUCGCUUGGUGUGGCGGGUAUCCCACCCUGCCGUGCCGAACCUAACGCGUUAAGCGAUCCGCCUGGGGAGUACGGUCCCAUGGCUGCAACUCCCAUGANUUGACUGGGGCCCGCACAAGCGGUGGAGCANGUGGUUUAAUUCGACNCNNCGCGAAGAANCUUACCUGGGCUCGANAUGUANUGNACAGGGGUAGACAUAUCCCCUCCUANCAAUAGGUCGCUAUAUANGUGCUGCAUGUCUGUCGUCAGCUCGUGUCGUGAUAUGUUGGGUUACGUCCCGCAACNAUCGCAACCCUUAUCUCCAGGUGCCAUCAUUCAG
rnacentral:rRNA from 1 species